UACGUAGGGUGCAAGCGUUAAUCGGAAUUACUGGGCGUAAAGCGUGCGCAGGCGGUUUUUUAAGCCAGAGUGAAAUCCCCGGGCUUAACCUGGGAACUGCAUUUGGGACUGGAAGGCUAGAGUAUGGCAGAGGGGGGUGGAAUUCCACGUGUAGCAGUGAAAUGCGUAGAGAUGUGGAGGAACACCGAUGGCGAAGGCAGCCCCCUGGGCCUAUGACUGACGCUCAUGCACGAAAGCGUGGGGAGCAAACGGGGA
rnacentral:rRNA from 1 species